UACAACUCAAACACAGGAGUCUCCACCAUCCUGGUACUCUUAGACUUUACCGCUGCCUUCAACACUAUUGACAACUCAAUCCUCUUCUCACGCUUGGAACAGUGUGUAGGAAUUAAAGGCCCCUGGACUUCAGCCGUUAGUACAGAGGCCCGUGGUGGUGGACCAGGACGGGGCUGUGUGGACACUGCUCUGUGGAACCGUGAGCACUGGCGCUUGGUUCUGACUGAUCU